ensembl:misc_RNA 7SK 7SK RNA
GGAUGUGAGGGCAAUCUGGCUGUGACAUCUGUCACCCCAUUAAUCGCCAGGGUUGAUUCAGCUGAUCUGGCUGGUUAGGUGGGUGUCCCCUUCCUCCCUCACAGCUCCAUGUGCAUUCCUCCCGAAGCUGCGCACUGGGGCACUCAGUCAAAGAGUACAACCACCCCCGAUACAGGAGGAUUGUUUCCUUGGUCAAGAGUAUACAAGUAGCUGUACUCCCCUGCUAGAACCUCCAAACAAGUUCUCAAGAAUUUGAACAUUUAUUGGUUAGAAAGAGAACGCAAACAAGCAAAUAAGGAACCAGCAUAGGGAAAAUACUGGAAAGUAUUAU